UUUUCUUCUCCCCAAAACCUCAGAAAGAGACUGAAGAGAGCGAAAUGCUGCGAACGAUUCUUCGAAGGGCAAUAGCGACGGGCCCAAGGUCCGACGGCCCAUGGAGGCUGACGGCGACGGCGAACUACUCGUCGUCCAAGGACACCAAGUCGACGGUGAAGAAGGCCAAGAAGAGUAACAAGUCUAAAGGCGAGGCCACUGCCGCCGCAGACGACGAUGCCUACGCCGGCGCCGACGCCGAUCUCUUCGACGAUAAAGGUCGUGCUCGACGGCUUCAGGCCGACGAGAGCGAUCCCUCGCUCGAUGUGGGGCCCAAUGGCCGACCUCUCUUCACUUCUACUCCGACGCUGGCUCAGCUCACCAGCAUGGACAGCUGCUCCUACUUCAAGUUCAAGACGGAGGAGUUGAACAAGGUGUUGCCGGAGGGUUUGCCGUUGGGGAUGGUGAGGGAGUUCGAGGAGGCAAUGCAGAGCGCCGUGCUUGUUCGCCAGAGCUUCCUUGAUCUCCGGGACAAUUUCCGGCGGGUUGUGGACCCGCCGUUGGGAUCAGCUAGGAGCAAAGGGUCAAAAGUUAAAAAACAGAUUGUUUUGGAUGGCCCUGUAAGCUGUGGAAAGAGUACGGCUCUUGCGAUGCUAGUUCAUUGGGCUCGUGAGGAAGGUUGGUUGGUUUUGUAUGUUCCCAGAGGCAAGGACUGGACUCAUGGAGGUUUUUUCUAUAAAAACCCACAAACAGGUCUUUGGGAUACACCUGUUCAAGCUGAAAAUAUUCUCAAGGAUUUCCUAAAAUUUAAUGAAUCCCGUUUAAAACAAUUGUUGUGCCAAAUAUCUGAUCCUAUUCCAUUGGGAGAGGGAGCUGGUGUUGGAUGGAUGAAAGAUGGAAUUGAUUCCAUGGCAAUGCCUGAAGGUUCAACACUGUAUGACCUGGUUGAUACAGGAAUCAAGCACACUCAUGCAGCUGUUGGAGUGGUAGUUCGUUUGAGGAAGGAGUUAUCUCUAGUGAAAGAUAUCCCUGUGCUGAUUGCGAUUGAUCAGUACAAUAACUGGUUUACGUUCAGUGAGUAUGAAGAGGCAGUAACUGUUCGUUCUACUCGACCAAUACAUGCCAAAGAACUUGCUACGGUGAAGGCUUUUAGAUCUAUGAUCCAUGAUGACAUGAUGGUGGGUGCCUUUUCUCAUUCAACAGCAGUAGGAAAACUUCGUCAAGACUUGCCAGAUGUGCCCUCUGAUGCUCGCAUUAACUUUCCUCGUUACACUUUAGAUGAAGCAGCAGCUGUUUGCCAUUACUACCUUAGACAGAGGCUUAUACGCCGGGAAGCUUUCUCAGAGGAAAAUUGCAAGAGAAUAUACUACUUGUCCAAUGGAAACGGAGCAGAAAUGAGAUGGCUAGCUACUUUCAUGCGGGAGCAGUGACAGAACUUGCAUUUUUUAUCCAUAAUCAAGGCCGACCUUGGGACUAGGCGAAGUAGGCCUAUACCCCUCAACCCAAUCAGCCACAAAAUGUAAUAUAUCAGAAGGGAUACUGAAAAACAUUCAGCGGCAAAAAUCUAAAGAUAAAAAGGAUGCAUUGAACAAUGCUCUGUCAUAUCAUGAGUACAGCACACUGUAACAGGUCUUGAACAAUGGAGGCCGGCCCUAAAACUACGCUUCAGUGGAAUGGAACUUCCUUUGCCAUGGUAUGGUACUCCUAGGUUUGUACGGCUGUUGGUCUUCAUUUCACUCAAAGUCAUGGCCAAACAAAUCCAG